UUCAAUUUUACAAACCCUAAAUCUCAUCUACGGCUUCAUCUUUAGCGAUUGUACUUGGCCAUACCCACUUCAGAAAUCCCUAAAACUCAAUCAUUCGAACUCUCAUUUAGCUUUCAUUGAAUUCAGUGCUAAGAACCCAAAAUCUAUAGAACCGGGUGAACAUUGAUAUGAUAGUGGCCUAUAUUAGGUUGGCCAUAGUUCAAGCUGGAGGUUUUCCGAUCAUCUUUAUGCUUUUGAGAUCUGAUUCAUACAUUUUCUUCACUACAGAGAGAUUUUAAUUUUAUUGAUCAUACAAGUAUUCCCGGAUGGAAAGAAUAAGAUAAAGUUGAUUGGUAAAGUUUGAGAUGCAUUGUUUGAAAGAAGCAAUCUGAAUCAUCUCUCUCAGAUCCUAUAUCGCAUAUGCUAAUGAUUUUUAAUCGACUGUGGUGAUUCGACUUGGUCACACUUUGCCACAAACGGGUCAAAUGGUUAAAUUUUCAUGGGCUUUUGGAAAUAAUGUCCAAGAAUUCAAUGAUUUGAAACGAGGAUCCUGCACUUCGUCAGGAAAUCGACCUUGAAGAUGAAAGAGUUGCAGGCACAUUGCAUUCUGUAUAGAUUGUGGAGUUUUAAUUGUAAAGGUUUACACCUGUGUUGCAAAACUCAAAUUAUAUGACCUUUUGCUACAUCUUGCCGUAUAGCAUAGGCAUUAGUUAUCCGAUGAGAAACCAAAGGGCAAGGCAACCAUACAUUAUCAGCUUCGGCUUGCAGGUGGUAACUUUGUUCUAAGUGGUGGCAAUCAUGGGAGAAGGAUAUCAACAUGAAAGAAAUGGAACAACAGUUGCAUGAGCAUGUGGGUCUACUAAGACAGAGUGAAUUAAUAAGAAUAAAUGCCAAGAAGGAGCUUAAAGAAAUGGAACUACAGUCACAAUUGGAUUGGCCUCAUAUGAU
rnacentral:lncRNA from 1 species